UACGAAGGGGACUAGCGUUGUUCGGAAUUACUGGGCGUAAAGCGCACGUAGGCGGAUUUGUAAGUCCGCUGUGAAAGUCGGGGGCUCAACCCUCGAAUGCCGGUGGAUACUGUCGGGCUAGAGUGCGGAAGAGGCGAGUGGAAUUCCUGGUGUAGCGGUGAAAUGCGCAGAUAUCAGGAGGAACACCAAUUGCGAAGGCAGCUCGCUGGGACGUUACUGACGCUGAGACGCGAAAGCGUGGGGAGCAAACCGG
rnacentral:rRNA from 1 species